rnacentral:rRNA from 1 species
UCAGGCCUAACACAUGCAAGUCGAGCGGUAACAGAACCAGCUUGCUGGUUGCUGACGAGCGGCGGACGGGUGCGUAACACGUAGGAAUCUGCCCGGUAGUGGGGGAUAGCCCGGAAAAAUUCGGAUUAAUACCGCAUACGCCCUAAGGGGGAAAGCAGGGGCUCCGUUUCUUUUAUAAGGAGCGGACCUUGCGCUAUCGGAUGAGCCUGCGUCGGAUUAGCUGGUUGGUGGGGUAAAGGCCUACCAAGGCGACGAUCCGUAGCUGGUCUGAGAGGAUGAUCAGCCACACUGGGACUGAGACACGGCCCAGACUCCUACGGGAGGCAGCAGUGGGGAAUAUUGCACAAUGGGCGCAAGCUUGAUGCAGCCAUGCCGCGUGUGUGAAGAAGGCUCUAGGGUUGUAAAGCACUUUCAGCGAGGAGGAAAGGUUGGUUGUUAAUACCGGCCAACUGUGACGUUACUCGCAGAAGAAGCACCGGCUAACUCCGUGCCAGCAGCCGCGGUAAUACGGAGGGUGCGAGCGUUAAUCGGAAUUACUGGGCGUAAAGCGUGCGUAGGCGGCUACUUAGGUUGGAUGUGAAAGCCCCGGGCUCAACCCGGGAACUGCAUCCAAAACUGGGUAGCUGGAGUGCGGAAGAGGAGUGUGGAAUUUCCUGUGUAGCGGUGAAAUGCGUAGAUAUAGGAAGGAACACCAGUGGCG